UAAGCCAAUUGCCAAUGAAUGGCACCAUUGUCGGCCGAUUAGAUCUUCGCUCGGAUCGUAAAUCAUGUGGCGGCGGGACGAGCCCUUGAAGUACCGCUGCUACCGGAGUUGCCCACCUUGGUGGACAGCGCACAAAGGUUAAGGGAACGGCACAGACCAUGCGGAUCGGAGAUCGAGGUACCCACUCCAUAUCCAAGAUCCCAAAGACCCCAGACCAAAGAGCCAAGACCCAAGAUCCAAGACCUCUGAGCUCGGCACGUCAUCGUCGCAACACUAACUAGCGUUUGAGGAAACAGAGUGUGGGUUUCGGCGAUAAAGACACAGACAAAAACGCUAUUAACAUCAUAAAACUACUAUAAAGAAGCAAAACGAAAACAGCAACCGCUAUGUGCACAACAUAAAUCAUCGAAUUGUUAGGAAGAUCCAUUAUGGGCCAUUACGAACACCAACACCGACACCACCUGAGUUAUUUUGGGGAAAGAAAGGCAGCAGCAGCAGCAGCGGCAGCAGCAGUCGAGCAGCAUUAUUAAAAUGCCGUUUUGCUUAAUUUUAUUUUAUUGUUUUUGAAGAAUUUCAGCCACGAAUAGCAGUCAAAUGAGCGCGCGAACUGCCGUUUGCCGUCGAAUCGGGUGGUCCCGUCCACAAUUUGAAAAAGUGCCGGGCUGCAAAGAAAUGUUUAAGAAAUGUAUAAAGAAAAAUAACAAAAAUAAAAAAGAAGGAGCCCUGACCAACGGCAAAUGCCCGGUAGCUUAGCUAACGAACACACUCCGAGAUUGGAGGCGUUGAUAAUGGGCGUAGGAGUCGGGGGAUCGCUGCCCAGUGUGCCCAAUGUGCCCAAGGAGCAUGCUUAAUAUUAAUAAACAGGAAGGAUCUGGUAGAUACGCAUAAUGAGCCGCAGAUGACAGGGCAUAUCAUCGCUGACAUCAGCACCGCACACUUCCGAAAGUGCGUAUCUUCAUCUAGAAUUUGUUAAGUGAAAGUUUAACGGAAGUCGUGGGGGAUCCUACUGGCAUGAUAGGCAGAAGAUCGUCCUGAAUAUUGAAAACAAUUCAAUGGGGUUCUUACAAAUAACAGAUCAUA